UAACACAUGCAAGUCGAACGGUAACAGGAAGAAGCUUGCUUCUUUGCUGACGAGUGGCGGACGGGUGAGUAAUGUCUGGGAAACUGCCUGAUGGAGGGGGAUAACUACUGGAAACGGUAGCUAAUACCGCAUAACGUCGCAAGACCAAAGAGGGGGACCUUCGGGCCUCUUGCCAUCGGAUGUGCCCAGAUGGGAUUAGCUAGUAGGUGGGGUAACGGCUCACCUAGGCGACGAUCCCUAGCUGGUCUGAGAGGAUGACCAGCCACACUGGAACUGAGACACGGUCCAGACUCCUACGGGAGGCAGCAGUGGGGAAUAUUGCACAAUGGGCGCAAGCCUGAUGCAGCCAUGCCGCGUGUAUGAAGAAGGCCUUCGGGUUGUAAAGUACUUUCAGCGGGGAGGAAGGGAGUAAAGUUAAUACCUUUGCUCAUUGACGUUACCCGCAGAAGAAGCACCGGCUAACUCCGUGCCAGCAGCCGCGGUAAUACGGAGGGUGCAAGCGUUAAUCGGAAUUACUGGGCGUAAAGCGCACGCAGGCGGUUUGUUAAGUCAGAUGUGAAAUCCCCGGGCUCAACCUGGGAACUGCAUCUGAUACUGGCAAGCUUGAGUCUCGUAGAGGGGGGUAGAAUUCCAGGUGUAGCGGUGAAAUGCGUAGAGAUCUGGAGGAAUACCGGUGGCGAAGGCG
rnacentral:rRNA from 1 species